UGCAAUCAGCAUGCUGAUUAAGGUUGCUUGGUUUUUUACUAAACAUUAACUGAAUGAAAACGGGUAGUCCCUGUUCUGCUUGGGGGGCUUUAAGGAAGCAAAUGGACUUUCAGAACAGAGAUUGUCAAUAAAGGAAUACACGUCCUGAGCUCUGGAUGAGUGCUGAGAAGGUGCGCAUCACACAGAACACACUGGACCCCAACUCAGAUAUGGGGGGGAAGGUUCCAUGACAGCUGAGUCAGAUGUGCUGAUCCCUGAGUUCCUUGAUGCAAAGCUGCUAAUAAUCUCUCCCCUCAAACCGACGAGGCUGGUGCUACCCGGAAGCACUGAGAGAUGUCAUGCCAAUUUACACAAAUCUUUAUUGUUGACACUCUUGCAUAAUGACAUCUUUAUUCAUGUGAAAAUACAAAAUAAAUUUCAACUAUAUGA